UACGUAGGGGGCAAGCGUUGUCCGGAUUCAUUGGGCGUAAAGAGCUCGUAGGCGGCUUAGCAAGUCGGGUGUGAAAACUCCAGGCUCAACCUGGAGACGCCACCCGAUACUGCUAUGGCUAGAGUCCGGUAGGGGACCACGGAAUUCCUGGUGUAGCGGUGAAAUGCGCAGAUAUCGGGAAGAACACCCGUGGCGAAGGCGGCUCUCUGGGACGGUACUGACGCUGAGACGCGAAAGCGUGGGGAGCGAACAGG
rnacentral:rRNA from 1 species